rnacentral:rRNA from 1 species
GAACGACGCUGGCGGCAGGCCUAAACACAUGCAAGUCGAGCGCCCCGCAAGGGGAGCGGCAGACGGGUGAGUAACGCGUGGGGAAUCUAACCUAAUGGUACGGAAUAGCCCAGGGAAACUUGGAGUAAUACCGUAUACGCCCGCAAGGGGAAAGAUUUUAUCGCCAUUAGAUGAGCCCGCGUUGGAUUAGCUAGUUGGUGGGGUAACGGCCCACCAAGGCGACGAUCCAUAGCUGGUCUGAGAGGAUGAUCAGCCACACUGGGACUGAGACACGGCCCAGACUCCUACGGGAGGCAGCAGUGGGGAAUAUUGGACAAUGGGCGCAAGCCUGAUCCAGCCAUGCCGCGUGAGUGACGAAGGUCUUCGGAUUGUAAAGCUCUUUUGGCGGGGACGAUAAUGACGGUACCCGCAGAAUAACGCCCCGGCUAACUUCGUGCCAGCAGCCGCGGUAAUACGAAGGGGGCUAGCGUUGUU